CCGUAGGUCCCGUCACAGCCGUGGCGGCAGCUACACGCAAAGGAAAAAUGCUAAAGCUAGCGAAAAUGGAGCAGGAAUAUUAAGGAGCUAGAGCAGCUUCACGUCCAUCAGCAGCGUUUGUUCACAACCGUUUUCAGGUCAGCAUGCACUGUGCUGCACAUCUGCAUCUGUACUGGUGAAGUUGUGGGUCUGGAGGAUGAGUCCGAGGAAGAUGUGUGUGGAGGCGGAGCCAUGUGUGGGCGGGACCUUGGCAGGCACACUAAAGAGUGACCUUUGGCACUUCAGUCAGUUCUUUUUCAGACUGUUUGAAUUGUUGACAGGAUCCAGAUCUACGAAACGUCUGACAGGCAAUCAUCCGAUGUCGUUGUCUCUACAGAGUCUACAGGGCUCUGUUAAUCCUUCUCAAUCACAGCCUCUACUGUUCUGUUUGCUACGCAGUGUCUCCUGCAGACAUGGACAGUAACCCUAGAAAAUGGGUGCUGAAGCCUCUGUCUCGCUUGCUGCAACCCUCAGACCUACGGUCCAUCACUGGCCCUGCACCUGACCUGGACAAACAAAGUAUUGAGUCCUCAGUGGUUGUCUCACAGCAGAGCAAUGAUUCACAAGAUGUGCUGGUUUCAGUACAGCGAGUUGCCAUAUCUCAGGAUGGGAACUCCAGCAGUGAUGAGUGGCAACCCAGCAGCCCAAGCAGCAGCUCUGGUUCUCACUGUGGUUUCUACUCUUUUGUGGAUGAUCCCAAAAGUCCUGAAGCUGAGAAGAAUGAAGUGUGGAUGGUGUCACCACAGCGACAUGCUCAACUUGCUACUCUCAAAGAGGAGAAGGGAUUCAGACUACAGACCUAUAGCAGCAGCAAGAAGCCAGAAAGUCUAUUUUCAGAGAGUAAUGGAGACUUGCAGUACAAAGGAGAGUCAUACAGCAGCAUUCGAGCAAUGGACAAUAAUGAGGAAAAACGGCUUCGCAAGGAGAUCAUUCGUAGCCAAGCUCCCAGAAGGAACCCAGCAGAGGAUUUGGGUGCCAGUUUGAGUUUUGGUCAUGUCAAGUCCAUACCAGAAGUUCCCCACUCAACUCAAACUGGUGCCAUUGACGAGGAGCAGAUCACCUUUGGUGCAGCCAGAGAGAAGUUUCUAAGGAUGGAACAGGAUUGUCUGGCAUCAAUCCCACGCCCCAUUGAGUCCGCUAGAAUACAUCUGAACCCAAGCCUGCAACAAUUUCCUGAUGCAUAUGGGUCAAGGAUGGUAGAUAUUUACUGUUCCAUGGAUGUAAGUGAUGACACAAGGCCAUUCAAAGCAGCACCAAAAGGUGUAACUCAUUCUCAGAAGGAUAUGAUAGUUUCUGAGAAAAACCUGAGAAAGAAGAUCAAUGUUCUGGACUCUGGUUUUACAAAGCACUUGGUGGAGGGGGCUGGAAGCUUCACCAGUGAUGACGACCUAUUAAACAUUAUUCAAGUGAGCCAGACAAACAAGUCCAGAGUGCUCCAAGAAACUCCCAUUGAAAGAGAGAUCCGGUUAUCUCAGGAACGUGAGGAGGAUCUGCGCCAGUCUCGAGGACUGAAGCACAGGAAAGAUCCUGGAGAAAUUGUUGAAAUCAAUACCAAACACAUGCAACUGCCACUGACACCUGUCAGACUCCAUCAGAAGAACAAAGUAAGUUUAAUCUCCUACAACACAUUCCAGAGGGAGAACCAGAUAAGUGAGAAACCUCUGCAAUGGGGACCACUCCAGGAACAAGAUAGCCCAGAUCCUCCACUGGAAACAGAGAAUAUAGGCAGAAACACUGACCCAGACGAUGAGAACAAGACAACAAAAGAAAGGACAGCAUCAGAGUCUGAAUCAGAUGUUGUAGUCCAGCCACCAUGUUGUCCUCACAAACAUCCUGAAGAAGUCUGGUUCUACCAAACAAACCCAACCAUGUCCUUUUCUACUACGAUGGACCAGGAAGCAUUAGAUUCAUCGAAGAAAAUGGAUUCUCCUAUUUCCCUAAUGCCAGCAAGUGUUCAUGAAACAUGUUCUCUGUCCUGGAGGAAGAGCCUAGAGUCCACUGGGCUGCAGUCCAGAGGAAAAAUCACUACAGAUUUUAUUGAGAAGGAGAUUGAAGAAGCUCUGAGACGGGAACAAGAGCUAAGGGAAUUAAGGGAAUCCAUAAAGAAAACUCAUCAACCACUAUUCUCACCAACUUCCCUGGCGGAACAAGCAUCCAACAUGGCUGUCAAGAUGUUCUACCCAGCAGUAGACACAGAGAGAUCCAUCAGUAUUUCUUCUUCCUCUCAUCAUCUGAGUGCCCAUCUGCCCAUUUCUUCUAAACCCUGGACCUCCUUGCCUUCUCCUGCCUCCUCUGCUGCGCAGGUACAGCCACCUCUUUAUGUUGCUCGAGGUCUCACAGAGACUCGGCUGCAGGACUUUGAUGGAUGUCAAGCCAGAGAACUGGAGGAAAACUCUUAUGCAGGAAUCCAGUUGGUUGAUGACAUCAACAAUGAGGUAAAUGCUUCAGACUACCAUAGGACACAUGCCUAGGAAGCAGUAACACCAGCAGCACCAGUAGAACCAGUACCAGAUGCACUAUGGCGCUUACACAUUGGCGUCGGCAUGGCCGGGAACGGGACCAGUAUAGAACCGGAAUUUGGUUUCACACAUGGGUUAGAUGAGCAUUUUCCGGUCAGAGGCAACUCUUAUUUUUCAGAUCUCCUUCCCAGCGGUCAGCGUGGGACCAAGGUUACACUACGGACUGAUUAGCCAGCUGAAAUUACAUCUACUGCCUCCAGUUAGUGAGUAGAAUCAGCCAGUGGAGGGUUCCCGCGUGCAUGAUUCAUUUUCAUUCUGAAUGCUGUUAAGAAAACGUCUCUGUCUGUAGCACUAAGCUGCUGCUCAGUAGGAACGGGUAAGAGAGUGAGCUGUGUGUCCCUGCCCUCUGCAUCGGAGCUUUUGUCCCAGAGAGCCAAAAGACAGCUGCUCAGUAGAACUGCUCAGAGGCGAAAGCAGCUUGUGUGUGGCCCGCAGCAGUGGAGGACAAGAUUAUCAAGAGGACCCACAUAGUAAAUUAAUAAAAUAAUGUGGUUCAGAGUCUCAAAAGCAAUACAGCUCAUGCCCGCCUUUGUUUAUUAUGAAGGACACCGUGGACUUUCCUGCAUGCAAUAAAUGCUGCUUAUUGGCUUGGGAAUUCCCCAUUUCUGAGAACUCCUUCAAAUUUAUAGGUGAACGCUACACUGCCCAGACCAGACCGCACUCACACCAUUCAGCCCCACCAAGCCCCGACCGCGCUGAUGCUGAUGUGUAAGCGACACUAGCUGCACCAGUGAUCUGGCCAAGAGGCAGCAGCAACAGACUAGUGAUGUGCCGUUCACGAACGAAAAGGCUCUUAGAUGUGACUCUGAAUAGACCAAUCAGAGCCGGCUCAGUCUCAGAGGAGCCAAAUUGGAGUUGUUUUUCCUUUCUCGGUCCCUUUCUCUCCAUGUUUAAGCCACAUGUCACAUCAUUGAUCAACUCCUCGAUGAGCCCUCUGCUCUGCUUCUCACCCCUUCUUUCCAGCGGAGCCGUCAGCAGCACGUUACUGCAGCAGCACGUCUUGCUCGCGUAAGCUGCUGCUUGGCCCUUCCCACGAGACGCGAAUCAGCAGGGGAGCAGCUGUCACCGACCGAGCACGAAGUCCCACGAGUGACUUCGUCAGUAAACACAACAACAAGCAGGAGAAAACUACAACAUGGUUUGUGUUUUAUGUUCUGUCCGUUUUAUAAUCGCCAAUACGGACCUGAAAAACAAAGGAGACGGCUAGCUAGGUGAUAACUUCUCACGGGGACGCACAGUUAGUAACCUUUUUAAAAAGGCAGUAAAGCAACCAGAAGGCAGUACGUUUCUUUAUUCUGAAAAUCUCAGGAGCUUCUCUCCAUUUCCGCGUCCGAUUUCCUGUCUUUCCUUCCCCAAAAAUGUGGAACUUGACCCGUUUCAGAGGCGUCGCGUGUAGAAAAUAGAACCGGCGCGUAAAGGCCGCGACAUGCUGCUCCUGAGACGCGGCCGACUCGCGCUGCUGACGGCUGCUGACGGCUCCGGUAUGGAAAGCCAAAACCGCCAAAAUAUGCCACUUUCUCAACCCGCCUAGUUAAGAGAUGGUGAAAAAAAUGCCGUUUGAUGUGUCAAGACGUCGUAAAAUACGGCGAAAAGUCUCCCAGAACGCCGUAUUUGACGCCAGCCAGAGGCGUUCUUAACGGUCCCGUAGAACGCCCGGAAAAAACGACGUGUUUUUUCUGGACACUGAACGCCGUUCUUUAUGUCACCCUAAUCCCAGACGCGUUCCCUGUGUGGGUGGCGUAAAAAACGGCGUUUGGUACGGACUUUGAACGCUGCUUUUUUCGCCGAUCUGUGACAUAAAACGCCGUUUUUAACACCACUUUGUGACAGUUUUCACGCGUUUAAAAUUCAACGUUACUCUCAUUUAUGCAGAGCCCUCCCCCUGGGUUUCUCAUCCACUUAAUUUAAACUCCAGGGACCCAAUGAAAGAAGAGGAGGGAGAGGCAGCACUAAUUCAUCCCAGAUUCGCCGGGCUGAGCGGAUUGCUGUUUUCUAAUACAACUCUGCUCUGUUUCAACUAAUUUCACUGUAUUGAAAAAGCCUUGAAAUGUAGCAAUAUUAUCAACAAUGUGUCAGCAUUAUUAUUUUUCUGUCUACCUAACCUGUCUACCUGUAAAAGGCAGAAACCUGAUGAUUACUUAAAAGUGUGGCUGCCCCGUAUCAGUCUGUCCUCGUUUCGUGAGUCCAGCUGGAACAUCAGUGCUGUUUCUGUCCAAAACUCCAUUCUUCUUAACCCUCUGAUGCAUGAAUUAUGAAAUCUUCAACCAUGAUUUUUUAAACAAUUUUUUUCAUUCAUCUUUAGGUGUGAAUGAAACAAAUUUCAACAAAUAUUUUUGUAACAUUUUGUUAAUUUACAAAUAAUUUAUUACAUGUCUACCUCAGUGGACAGCGUGCACUCUGAACAUGAAAUAUGUUGGCUUGACUUGCUGAAGCUCAAAUGGAGGGGCUCAAAUGCAAUAAAGUCUAACAGCUGUGCUUAAUAGCAAAAAUAAAUAAAUAACAAUUUUGAGUCCACUGUAGUGACCAUUAUGCAUCAAAGGGUUAAGCUCAUCCACUUUCAGUAUUUACUAUUGUUUUUGUUGUUGUUGUUGUUGUUUUUCAAUUAUUGUUAUACGUGUCUUACAGGAGCUUCUGAAGAUGUUCUGUCUUGCUUCUCCAUCAUCACUCUCCAGAUCCUCAGACCAGCCACUCCAGAACCUUCCCAGAUCCAGGAUCAGAGCACUUUAAUGCUUGUUGUUCUCCUACAGAAGCCUUAAACUAGAAUUUGCUAAUGAGCUUUCUUGGCUAAAAUAUGCUCUUGAAUGUUUUUAUUUACAUUAAUAUUUCAAGACAAACGUUUUUCAUUGCUGCUUCACCAAGACAUGACUCUGAAAAUGUCCUCAUGAUCCUGAAACGCUGGUGAAAACAAAUUACUUUCAACCUCUUAUAAAACAAACGUGUCUGUUGAUGAUUAUGCCCACUACAAUACUGAAGCACCUGCAUACUUGAAGACAAGCAUUAAAGUGCUCUGAUCCUGGAUCUGGGAAGGUUCUGGAGUGGCUGGUCUGAGGAUCUGGAGAGUGAUGAUGGAGAAGCAAGACAGAACAUCUUCAGAAGCUCCUGUAAGACAAGUAUAACAGUAAAAAAAAACAACAACAACAAAAACCAAUAGUAAAUACUCAAAGUGGAUGAGCUUAAGAAGAGGGGAGUUUUGGACAGAAAGAGCACCGAUGUUCCAGCUGGACUCAGCCCGGCGAAUCUGGGAUGAAUUAGUGCUGCCUCUCCCUCCUCUUCUUUCAUUGGGUCCCUGGAGUUUAAAUUAAGUGGAUGAGAAACCCAGGGGGAGGGCUCUGCAUAAAUGAGAGUAACGUUGAAUUUUAAACGCGUGAAAACUGUCACAAAGUGGUGUUAAAACGGCGUUUUAUGUCACAGAUCGGCGAAAUAAGCGGCGUUCAAUAUCCAUACCAAACGCCGUUUUUUAUGCCACCCACACAGGGAACGCGUCUGGGAUUAGGGUGACGUAAAGAACGGCAUUCAAUGUCCGGAAAAAAACGUCGUUUUUUUACGGGCGUUCUACGGGACCGUUAAGAACGGCUCUGGCUGGCGUCAAAUACGGAGUUCUGGGAGAGUUUUGCCGUAAUUUACGACGUCUUGACACAUCAAACGGCGUUUUUUUCGCCAUCUCUUAACUAGACGGGUUGGGAAAGUGGCGUAUUUCGGCGGUUUUGGCUUUCCAUACUCCGGUGGAAAAGGUUCUGUUGACCACAGUGGUUCCUAUCAGCAGCCAUGACGUGCUGCUGCAGUAACGUGUUGCUGACGGCUCCUGUGGAAAGAAGGGGUCAGUGUUUCUGCAGCGAGCAGGAGAGGUAAGGAGGAACGGGGGACAGGUUCUGGUGUAAACUCACAGAGCAGUGGGAGGAGGAGGGUGUGAAAGGGGAGAAAAACAGUCUCCAGAAAGGUGAGGAUGUGAGUGAAAGCAGCAAAUGCAACCAGAUUUGGACAUAUUUCACUAAUACUGACAAUUCAAAGGAAGAGUGUGGACUAUGCAAAGCAAAAAUAUCUUUUCAAGCAGGUUCUACAAAGUUGUCUGUGUGAUUAUCUUAGCUUUUCUAAGUUGUUUACCUGUAAAUAGUUAAGUCUUUAAAUAUUUUACAUAUAGAGUUUAUUUUUGUUUUGUUGCAUUCUGUUUAGUGUUGGAUAGUCAGAAGUUAUUGUAAUGAUUUGUAAGUAGUCACUUUUAAUAAAUUGUCAAUAGAAUAUAAAGGUAUUCAAUUAAAUGUAAUAUUCCAUAAAAAUAUGAAUUAUCAAUAUUAAUAUUUGAUGAUGAAACUACCCUAAUUUCUGGCCUACAAGCCGCUAUUAUUUCCCUGUGCUUUGAAGCCUGUGCCCAAUAUCAUGGUGCGGCUCAUGUGUAGAUUUUUGUUGGCCAACAACCACCAGAGGCACUCUCCAGCAGUAAAGUGAGACACGCACGGCAAAACGUUACGCGUGGAAGAAGACGCUCUUUGAUUUAAAGCGGCACGUUUACACAUCAGACACACCCUCGUCAUGGAAAACACGCGGAGGAAUGCAUAUGCUGCAGCUUUCAAAUUAAAAGCGAUCGAUCUGGCCAUCAAACAAGGAAACAGAGCCACUGCACGGGAGCUUGGCAUGAAAGAAUCAAUGGUGCGACGUUGGAGGCGGCAGCGGGAAGCACUCAGUCAAUGUAAAAAAACAACAAAAGCUUUCAGAGGAAAUAAAAGCAGAUGGCCGGAACUGGAAAACAUUCUUGAAGACUGGGUGAACACUAGAGCUGUAGCAAAGCGUCGAUGACGUCGACGGCUCAAUUCUAAAAAUUCGUCGACGUCAGAUCCGGUAGUCGACGCACCACGGCCACUUUUUGAAUCCCCAGGAGUUUGUAAAUAGAGGAGGAAUCUGCCUGUUUUUCCUCCAGUUCUCCACCCUCACUAACAUCUCUGCCAAAUACCGAAGAACCGGAACAAUGUCCGUCCACUACUAGAUUCCUUUCCUGUUUUGCCCGUCUUCGUCUCCCGGCAAUGGACAACAACUUCCGGGGUCAGAUGCGCUGCUUCGUCUCUAUCGCAGAUGUAGAACAUCACCGGGAGCGUUUCUCCCUUCAUAAAGGAGCUUCUUUCAGACAUUAGGAGAGCUGGUUUGGUGGUAGCGGUCUCUCCUCCGUGCUGGUCUGUUUGCUGCUGGGUAUUUUUGGUUUAUUUAAACUUGGUAACUUGAACUUAACGUUGGUAAAGCUACUGUUAGCAUCUUCGCUAACAGCUUCUUGCGUUCGGAUAAGCUGUUAAGUUUUGGUUUAGAGUUCAUCUUUUUUGUGGUGCAGAUCUCCCUUUUAUUACAUUUAGAGUGUUGUGGGUUUUCGGUUUAGUUUAAAACCUUGAGUUUGGUUUAACCGCCCAGUUUAGAGUUUGGACCUUUGGAGAUCCUUAUUUUGGUCCAGAACCCUGUAAUCUUUGCCCAGUGGGACAUCCCUACUUAUUUGUACUUUUGUUUUAAUUCCCCACAGGCAGGAUUAGUUUUAUUAUUCCCAACCUGUGGAUGGGAAGAUUUAUGAUUUUUGUAGUUGUAAAUAAACCUGAUCAUCAUUUUAACUUUUAAAUCCCGUUAUCGUCCCUUCCUUUUUGCACACGAGCCAAACUCCCCAGGAAGGGUCGUAACACCACUCGCCUCACGCACAUAAGUGACUAAAACAAAGCAGCAUGGAGACACUCCGUCUCUAACCACUUCUCAGGCAGCAGCCUGCACUCCCAAGUUCUACACGUCACCAGAACAUAACCAACCAACACAAUACAAGCAGUGUUAUACAAAAUGCAAGGCCUGUAGUGUUUAUUCUCUUACAGUAACAAUUUAUCACCUUUUUUGAGGAAUUUAUUAGAGAUUUUCUUGUUUUUAUUAAUUGUGCAAUAGUCAUUAGAAUAGUCGACAUUCGGGAGGGACUCGGAGUAGAACCGCUGCUCCUCCGGAUCGAAAGGAGCCAGUUGAGGUGGUUUGGGCAUCUGGUCAGGAUGCCUCCUGGACGCCUCCCCGGGGAGGUGUUUCGGGCAUGUCCUGCCGGCAGAAGGCCCCCGGGGCGACCCAGGACACGUUGGAGAGGUUACAUCUCCAGUCUGGUCCGGGAACGCCUUGGGGUCCUGCCGGAGGAGCUGGUGGACAAGGCCGGGGAGAGGACGGCCUGGAGCUCCCUAGUUGGGAUGCUGCCCCCGCGACCCGGACCCGGAUAAGCGGAGGAAGACGACGACGACGAGACUAUUCGAUAAAAUAAUCGUCAGAAUAAUCUUUUUAAAAAUAACCGUUUACCCCCAGCCCUAGUGAACACACAAAGAGCAGACGGCCGAGGUGUUUCCACUGUGCAGAUCAUUACUAACCAGGCAUGUUUUGUGUACAGUUUUUAUUUUCUAAUUAUCCGGGGCUUGUUAAUGCUGUGUCAGCACUGUUCUUUUCUUCUAAACAGACAGGAGCAAGGUGGAAAAGAGGAGGUUAGUGGAGAAAAGUUUGAAAAAGUGGCCGGUGACUGCAGCUAAGCCAAGCACAGGUGCCAUCUUGUUACCGACCGGAAGCGGUCAUAGAGUCUACUCGAGUAGUCAGACACAAAAACCAGCGAGCUUUGCGGUGGGAAGCUGGAUUGUUUGCCAACGAGGACAACUAGUGAGACAAGUAGAACCAGAUGCAGAUCUGAAAGUGAGCUGGCAGCAACAGGACAACUGUUUUCAUCUGCUGAGACACAGCUGGUUUCACAGCAACAUACCUGAGUAUUACAGGAUGCUCCUGAUUGGUCCUUUUAGAUGGGCUGCUUAUCGAUUUCAGUCUUCAGCCUGAAACCCAAUUUAUACUUCUCCGUCAGCUCCACGAGGGAGAGACACGCAACCACGGAUGGAGACAUUUUGCAGCAGACUGAAAAGUAUAAAUUAGGCUUGAGGCUUUAGUGAGUGAUGCAGCAAUUUUCUGAGUCAGACUUUUAUUUUGAAAAAAAACCCAGGAAUUUUCUUACAACUUGUAAUUGAUGAGUUUAAUUUAAAUGAAAUAAUAAAAAAUCUGUUUUGGUGUGA